GAUGAACGCUGGCGGCGUGCCUAAUACAUGCAAGUCGAGCGAACAGACGAGGAGCUUGCUCCUCUGACGUUAUCGGCGGACGGGUGAGUAACACGUGGAUAACCUACCUAUAAGACUGGGAUAACUUCGGGAAACCGGAGCUAAUACCGGAUAAUAUAUUGAACCGCAUGGUUCAAUAGUGAAAGACGGUUUUGCUGUCACUUAUAGAUGGAUCCGCGCCGCAUUAGCUAGUUGGUAAGGUAACGGCUUACCAAGGCAACGAUGCGUAGCCGACCUGAGAGGGUGAUCGGCCACACUGGAACUGAGACACGGUCCAGACUCCUACGGGAGGCAGCAGUAGGUAAUCUUCCGCAAUGGGCGAAAGCCUGACGGAGCAACGCCGCGUGAGUGAUGAAGGUCUUCGGAUCGUAAAACUCUGUUAUUAGGGAAGAACAAAUGUGUAAGUAACUAUGCACGUCUUGACGGUACCUAAUCAGAAAGCCACGGCUAACUACGUG
rnacentral:rRNA from 1 species